AACGCGAAGAACCUUACCUAGACUUGACAUCUCCUGCAUUACCCUUAACCGGGGAAGUCCUUCGGGACAGGAUGACAGGUGGUGCAUGGUUGUCGUCAGCUCGUGUCGUGAGAUGUUGGGUUAAGUCCCGCAACGAGCGCAACCCCUAUUGUUAGUUGCUACCAUUAAGUUGAGCACUCUAGCGAGACUGCCUAGGUUAACUAGGAGGAAGGCGGGGAUGACGUCAAAUCAUCAUGCCCCUUAUGUCUAGGGCUACACACGUGCUACAAUGGAUAGUACAAUAAGACGCAAUAUCGUGAGGUGGAGCAAAUCUUAUAAAACUAUUCUCAGUUCGGAUUGUAGGCUGAAACUCGCCUACAUGAAGUUGGAGUUGCUAGUAAUCGCGAAUCAGAAUGUCGCGGUGAAUACGUUCCCGGGUCUUGUACACACCG
rnacentral:rRNA from 1 species